ensembl:lncRNA LINC01415 long intergenic non-protein coding RNA 1415
GCGGCCGCGAGGCGGGGCUGGAGGGCGCUGCGGGCUGCGCGGAGGCUGCGGGAAGCGCGGGGAGCACGCGGAGCCCGACUAGCAGGGAGAUCGCGUCGCGCCGGGCACAGGCACGGGACCCGCGCUCUAGGAGGGCGCAGCGAGAGGCGCACUGCGCACCCAGGGGCUGCGGUCCCGGCCGCCGUGCGGUGACAAGCUGACUCCCCGCCGCCGCCCAGCCAAGUCCGCGCGGGGUGCUGGCGGAGAUGUCGCAUGGGAGGCUUCUUCAACGAGGUGCAAAUCCAAGCCACCUCGCCUGAGAUUAGAACAUCCGACAUUAAAAUGUCUCAGUGCAGCAGAAUUUCCCAGCGACUUCGGUGGCGGGAGAGCAGCACCUCUCAGGCACAGCUGUGCGCAUCCCUCGGGCCCCACCGACCGCACCAUCUGACCGCGGGAAACGAAAUCUGAGCUCAGGAAUUUGAACUGCCCCACGCACGUUCGUUCCCGGAUAAAUCUCCUAGAGGACCGUGAUUUUUCCACUUAGAGAUUAUUUAGGGAGAUGUCCUGGAUGGGACAAGUAGACAAAUGGCGGCCCGAGGAAAAUGCAGGAAACUCUACAUUGUAGACGCUUAAGCACCAACUGUCUGGGCCCCGGGGCAGGGAACGGGAGACAUUAUCCACCGGAAACAUCACACCCCCGGGGCUCCUGGCAUUUUCUACAUCAGUGAAUGUGCCAGCGAAGAAGAGUGUGGGGAAAUUUUCUGAACAUAGAAUUCAUAUUCCUGAAACGUUAAGUCGUGAAGUGGGUGCUUCAGCUGUCCCCCAGCUUUAGGAUUUUAACCCAGCUUUGGUUUUGAUCACCGAGAGUUAUUCCUUAUAAUCAAAUCAGCAAAAGCGUUCAAUUACCUAUUACUGGUUGAGAAAGAUUCCGUUCCCCCAGCUCAUUGUAUCGGUUCUUGGACCCAAGAUGUUAAUUAUCGGCCAGGCAUUCACAGGGGGUUAAUAUGGCCCCCCUCGACACCUUGCCUCGUACCAGAGACACCAAAAGCUGCCGCUGAGGGAUAAUAGAGAAUGGGAAAAGCUGGUCAUGAAAAACCUCUUUUAUUCUUACUUGCAAGCUACCCUUUUGACAUUCUUUUUUUAACACUAAAUGGAGAUUACUGAAUUGAUAACUUUUGGGUUUUCUCUGUCACACUGGGGUUUUUUUCCCCCCGUUUGUUUGUAAGGUUUUUUUGGUUUUGGUUUUGGUUUUGGGGGGAGGGGAAGGGGGAAGUGGAUAGGGAGAUGGAAGAGUGUUCUGUUACUGGUUUUAUCAAAUCCUGUUAGGUCUUGUUCUUCAGUGUAAUGUAGAAUGGAGAAGUUGCAUAAGUACAUGAUUGACAAACAAGGUCUCUUAGAAGAGAGUUAAGGAGUAGGAAAUAUAAUGUGUCCUGGAGAAAAAGAAAGAGAAAACCCUUAGUAUGACACACUGGCCUUUAAAUAGAGGACACAUGAAUAUGCAAAGGAGAGGCACGUGUGAAAUAAGGUGUGCCUUGCUGAGCCCUCCCGCCCCCACCCCCCAUGUAUCAAGAACUUUACUUACAUUAUCUCAUCUAAUUCUACCCACAACCCAAGAGGAAGGGCGAUACUUUUAAUUCGGGUUUUUACAGACAAGAAAUUUGUAUCUCAGAGGCCCAAAGUAAAUUGCCUGAGGGCAUAUAGCUACUUAGGACAGAAUUAGAAUUGAUUAAAGAGUCAAAAAUUCUUUGAGAAUUAAUGUUUUAAACUCUCGAUUAGUUACCAAGGGAAUCUGAGAAAUUAAUUAACUUUUGGGGGGAUCUUUAGAUUAGUGGGGAAAUUAUGUUAAGCCCAAAGAAAGACAAGCCCGUGAAUUUUCUUGUUAUCUAUGAAGUGGUUUGGUGAAAGGUGUGACAAUUUGAGAAAACUGAAAAGUGCUGAAAUUCCUUUAAUAAGGUUCUGUUUAAACUGAUAGAGCUACCAGAUAUAAUUAGGCAGAUAUCCAUUUUCUUCUGGAAGCUUCUAUUAUUUGAGAAGAAAACUGAAAAGCUUUAGACUGUUUCAAAUUAAGGACAAUUUGAAUUUUAGUUGGAAAGCGGAUAAACUAUCUGUAUGAUUGAGUUUAAAAGGCAUGGAAAGACUAUUACGAAGUAUUGAUCCCACUCAGUGAGAGCAAGCACAGCUUUCAAAUGAUACAGAUCUGGCUAUGAAUUUGAAUGGUGACUGUGCCUAGCUGUGUGACCAAGGGCAACUUUCUUAACCUCUCUGGGCCUCUGAGUCCUCGUCUUUAAAAUGAGACAAAUAAGCCCUUGCAAGACGCUUGUGAUGAU